rnacentral:sRNA from 1 species
AACAUCUCCUUCUUCCAACCGCCUGCUCUUCUCAUGAUUGGCAUCCCAGGGCUGGAGGCCGUUCAUGGCUGGCUCGCCAUCCCUUUCUCCUCCAUGUACACUGUGGCCCUCACUGGGAACUGCCUGAUCCUCCUGGCUGUGAAGAGGACCCCCAGCCUGCACCAGCCCAUGUGCUACUUCCUGUCCAUGCUGGCGCUCCCCAAAGCGGGCCUCACCUUGUCCACACUGCCCAUCACCUUGGCUGUGCUCUGGUUUGACCAUCGGCUCAUGGGCUUCAAUGCCUGCCUGGUCCAGAUAUUCUUCCUGCACUCCUCUGUGGUGGAGUCCUCAGUGCUCCUGGCCAUAUCCUUUGACCACUUUGUGGCCAUCUCCAACCCCCUGCACUAUGCAGCUGUCCUCACAAAUAGUGUCAUCAUCAGGAUUGGGCUGGCCAUUGUGGCUCAAGUUACCUUGUGCCUCUUCCUGUGCCAUUUCUGGUUAAGUGUCUAAAUUUCCGCCCUGGUGAUGACAUCCUAUCCCACUCGUUCUGUUUCCACCCUGAUGUAAUGAGGCGGGCCUGUGCUGACAUCACGAUCAAUGUAUGCUAUGGGCUCUACGUGGUUGUUUCUACAGGGGGCGUAGACUUGCUGCUCAUCUUUCUGCCCUAUACCUUCAUCCUGCACACAGUCAUGGGUCUGGCUGCUCCCAGGGAGCGCAUCCGGGCCCUCAAUACCUGUGUUUCCCACAUUCUGGCUGUCUUUGUCUUCUUUAUUCCAGGUAUCACCGUGUCCAUGAUCCACCAUUUUGGGAGGCACCUGCCCCACAUUGUACAUGCUCUUGUUACCUAUGUGUACCUGGUGAUGCCUUCUGUGCUCCACCCCAUCAUUUACAGUAUGAAGUCCAAGCCCAUCAGGGAGGCCAUCCUCAGGAUG